CAGCAGCCGCGGGAAUACAGAGGGUGCAAGCGUUAAUCGGAAUUACUGGGCGUAAAGUGCGCGUAGGUGGUUUGUUAAGUUGGAUGUGAAAUCCCCGGGCUCAACCUGGGAACUGCAUCCAAAACUGGCAAGCUAGAGUAUGGUAGAGGGUGGUGGAAUUUCCUGUGUAGCGGUGAAAUGCGUAGAUAUAGGAAGGAACACCAGUGGCGAAGGCGACCACCUGGACUGAUACUGACACUGAGGUGCGAAAGCGUGGGGAGCAAACAGGAUUAGAUACCCCUGUAGUCCCUGUCUCUUAUAC
rnacentral:rRNA from 1 species